rnacentral:lncRNA from 1 species
AAUGAGUUUGAGAGUGGACGAUAUGCAUUUUAUCAAAGAGGAAAAUAAAAGAUGUUCUUUUAAGGUGUAGUGUUAAAAUUUAGGAUAAAGAUACUUAAACAACAUUUGAACAUCAUCAUACGUGUCAUUGUGUGAUUGGUCCAUGGUGGUGUCAUUGUGUGAUUGUUGUGUCAUUUGGACCAAUCACACAAUAACACUUAUGAUAAUGUUUAAAUGUUGUCAAAAAAUGUUAUCUAUAUAUCAUUAUCCUAAAAUUUAUAGUCAAAAUUUUAAACAAUUUCUUUGGAUCUCUUUCACUUUAACGUACUCUACUUCUUCUUCUACUUUCACCAUUUUAAACAAUUUCUCCAUCUCUUCCAUUUUUUUCUCCAUUUCGAAUCACUGAAACAUAACACUCAUCGUCUUCUCAAAAUUCAUUUUCGCUUUCGAUCUCCACCAUCCACGUUCACAUAGAGUGUUUUGAAAGACAUUUUAAGAUCUGGAUUCCUUCCAAACUAAAACAUGGAGUGAUCCCAAUAUCUCAUUUUCACCUGCUUCUUCUUGCAUCUCAAUUUACUCAGCACCCCCAUAAAAUUGUAAUUUCCAAAUUAUUCCCCGU